rnacentral:miRNA from 14 species
CUUGUGUGUUUUCCAAUGUGUGCACAUGCAUGUGUGUGCGUACAAACAAACACACACACACACACACACACACACACACACACACACACACACACA